AUUGAACGCUGGCGGCAGGCUUAACACAUGCAAGUCGAACGAGUGGCGGACGGGUGAGUAAUGCUUGGGACUCUCGCUUCUGGAGGGGGAUAACUACGGUCAACUGUAGCUAAUACCGCCUUCCCUCUGAUUACCCCAUGUGGGAUUAGGUAGUUUGUGUGGUAAAGGCUCACCAAGCCGACGAUCUCUAGCUGGUCUGAGAGGAUGACAAGCAACACGGGGACUGAGACACGGCCCAGACUACUACGGGAGGCGGCAGUGGGGAAUAGUGCGCAAGGGGGGCAACCUGACGCAGACAUGCCGCGUGGAGGAAGAAGGCCUUGGGGUUGGAAAGGUCUUUCGGUAGGGAGGCGGUAACUAAAGAAGAAGCACCGGCUAACUCCGUGCCAGCAGCCGCGGUAAUUC
rnacentral:rRNA from 1 species